GAUGAACGCUGGCGGCGUGCCUAAUACAUGCAAGUCGAGCGAACAGACGAGGAGCUUGCUCCUCUGACGUUAGCGGCGGACGGGUGAGUAACACGUGGAUAACCUACCUAUAAGACUGGGAUAACUUCGGGAAACCGGAGCUAAUACCGGAUAAUAUAUUGAACCGCAUGGUUCAAUAGUGAAAGACGGUUUUGCUGUCACUUAUAGAUGGAUCCGCGCCGCAUUAGCUAGUUGGUAAGGUAACGGCUUACCAAGGCGACGAUGUGUAGCCGACCUGAGCGGGUGAACGGCCACACUGGAACUGAGACACGGUCCAGACUCCUACGGGAGGCAGCAGUAGGGAAUCUUCCGCAAUGGGCGAAAGCCUGACGGAGCAACGCCGCGUGAGUGAUGAAGGUCUUCGGAUCGUAAAACUCUGUUAUUAGGGAAGAACAAAUGUGUAAGUAACUAUGCACGUCUUGACGGUACCUAAUCAGAAAGCCACGGCUAACUACGUGCCAGCCGCCGCUGUAA
rnacentral:rRNA from 1 species